rnacentral:rRNA from 1 species
UGGCUUGGUCAUUUAGAGGAAGUAAAAGUCGUAACAAGGUUUCCGUAGGUGAACCUGCGGAAGGAUCAUUAGUGAUUGCCUUAAUUGGCUUACUAUAUCCAUCUACACCUGUGAACUGUUAUAUUACUUGACGCAAGUCGAGUAUUUUUACAAACAAUGUGUAAUGAACGUAGCUUUAUUAUAACAUAAUAAAACUUUCAACAACGGAUCUCUUGGCUCUCGCAUCGAUGAAGAACGCAGCGAAUUGCGAUAAGUAAUGUGAAUUGCAGAAUUCAGUGAAUCAUCGAAUCUUUGAACGCAGCUUGCGCUCUCUGGUAUUCCCGAGAGCAUGCCUGUUUCAGUGUCAUGAAAUCUCAACCACUAGGGUUUCCUAAUGGAUUGGAUUUGGGCGUUUGCGAUUUCUAAUCGCUCGCCUUAAAAGAGUUAGCAAGUUUGACAUAAGUGUCUGGUGUAAUAAGUUUCACUGGGUCCACUGUGUUGAAGCGUGCUUCUAAUCGUCCGCAAGGACAAUUACUUUGACUCUGGCCUGAAAUCAGGUAGGACUACCCGCUGAACUUAAGCAUAAUCACUAGUGAAUUCGGAUC